GACUAUUGUGUUGUUACAUGUAUGAAUAGUAAUAUAACUGAGGAUAUUGAUUAUAUACCUAAGUUUCAUUGAAUUAUAUGAUGUUGUGCAUAUGUGAAUUAUUAUGGUGUGAUAAUUCAGAGAAGAGAUUACUUGAGUUGUCAGUGCAUUAUGUUAAUAUUCAAAGAGGGGUCUUAAUGCAUUGAUUUGAUGUGUAUGAGUAUGCAUCAUUAAGUUGUGUCAAGAGGCAUGUCUGUUAGUUCAGAGAGGGAACUAGUGACUUUUCCCAAGCUCAGAAG
rnacentral:lncRNA from 1 species